rnacentral:rRNA from 1 species
UACGGGGGGGGCAAGCGUUGUUCGGAAUUACUGGGCGUAAAGGGCUUGUAGGCGGCCAACUAAGUCAGACGUGAAAUCCCUCGGCUUAACCGGGGAACUGCGUCUGAUACUGGAUGGCUUGAGUUCGGGAGAGGGAUGCGGAAUUCCAGGUGUAGCGGUGAAAUGCGUAGAUAUCGUAAGGAAGACCAGUGGCGAAGGCGGGUCUCUGGACAGUUCCUGACGCUGAGGCACGAAGGCCAGGGGAGCAAACGGG